CUUUACCAUUCUUUACUUUUUCACCAUAAUAUUGUGAAUUUAUGACUUAUGACGAUGUAGAUUAAACCUUUUUUUUUUUUUUUUUUUUGUUCCCCUAAUUCUAUAUUUGAAAUAGUAUAAUUAAGAAGGCUUUGACUUGGAAAUUUUUGAUCUUUAUUGACUAAUCUGAUUGGUUUUGAUGCUUCAAUAUCGAUGUAAAUUUAUAGUUUAGGACAUGUGCUUGUUUGAUUGAAAAAAAAUUGAUAAUCAUAAGAGUUUGCAGAUAAGUCAUUGUGUCAUUGACAAAAGCAUAUAAUGGGAUAAUAUAAUUUUCAGUAAAUUAAUGAAUUGAUUUUUUUCAAUCAAAAUUCAGAGGAAAAAAGAAUACAAGCUCAUCCAACCUUCUUCAUGAAAUUAAUGACUUGAUUAUGUAAUCAUUAUUUACCCUGAUUAGCUUGAAGUUGCGUGGAUGAUAUUGUAGAAAUAAAGUUAGAUGUCAGAAUUCCAUUAAUUUCAUUAAUGUAUGAGCUGUUGUACAUUCAAUUUUCACUUUAGAUAUGUACCCAAAUAUUGUCAUCUCCACUUGAUUAUAUGUGUUUAUUAAUGGAAAUAAUUCACUAUACAAUGUUUUGUAGGAUGCAAUUUUGGUACAUUAAUGUUUAGUAGGAAUAAUUUGCGUGUGUUUAACAUCAAUGUUCAAGAAUGUGGGCUAUAUGUGAGAGUUUGGUGUUAGCGUUGCUUUAUGUGAAAAAGGCGUAACUAGUGUUAUUGUCGACUCUAUAAUAUUGUUGCUCGAAUAUUAACCCUACUGCUAUAAUAAUUUUGCUGUCCAAUUGCUACUAUAUUUGGUUUGCCUGCUGCAGGAAUUGUUGCUACCUUGUUAUAUUAGUGCUGCUGUUAUUUUGUAGUUGCCCUAUAGUUCCAGUUCUGUUCGUCCAAAUAUUAUGGACUUGCAGUCGUUUUUAUCCCCUAGUACCUUGAUAAAAGUUAUAGAUCUUGAAAAGUUAUCCAAUCUAGGCUCAAAAAUUUCUCAAUUUGGAAUUGUAUGCUAAAUGUUAUGCCUUCUAGAAAUUUCUGUGGUGUGCUUCCUUGGUUCUAUCGCAGGGGGGCUAUUAUUUUUCACUUGAUGCCUAUGUAAGGUUGUUGCAUUGAGUUGGGUGGGGUUGCUAAAAUGAAUACUCUGCAUUUUCUUAUUAAUUUUAAUUCUAUUUUCCCUCUAUUUUUCUUACAAAUUAUCUCUUAAAUUAAUAUGUGGAUUUGUAUAAUUGUAUAUACUGUCACAGAUAUGGAAGCAUCUUUAAGUAUCCUCAGGGUCAACAUUAGUUUAAAGGAAAAGUAUGGUUUUGCAUUGUAAAUAAAUGCUUGAUUUUGGUGGAUUUCUAAACUUGAAGUGAUUGGCUUUAACAACAGAAGAAUAUUUGAAGUUUUAACAAAUUGGCCUGAGAGAACCAUACAAGUUAUAGUUAUGACAGAAACGGAUUUUGAGACUCGGGGAUCUUUGAUGUCAGGUGGGUAGAUGUACCAUAGCUCUAAAUAGAUCACUAUUAUUGACUUAUUGUAAUAAUUGUAUGAUUUCGUAGUUGUAAAAAUGAACAUGUUUAUGGGAAAAUUGGCUUAUUAAACAACACAGGGAGGAGUUUGUCUGUAAGCAUUAUAGACACUUGGUGAAUUUGUUUUGUUUAAUAAUUAAUCUGAGUAGGUUCGUCUUAGCUCUCUUGUUUCAGUGUUUGCCAAUAACCACUGAUGUUAGGACUUACUAUGAGAAAAUGCUUAACGGUGAGUUCUACAUUUGUCUAAGACAAAGAAGAGCCACUUGGAAGGUUAUAAAGCUUUUUUUUUUUCUUUGAUACAUGUGAUGAAAAGUUAGUGGGUAAUUUUAUUUUUGUUGUAGGAGUAUAAUGAGUUUCUUGAGGAGUUCAUGGUGCAGUAAAGCAUAACUAUGGAGAAAAGUUCUUAUACAAGUUUGUUACUACUGUCCAUGAUUAUAAUUUCCAUUAUUUUAAGUAAUUCGUAUACUUUCAUGUUUUAAACUUUUGUGUUAAUUGGAUUUAUAACUUAAUUUCGAAUACUUUACCAACCAUAAUGCCUUCAAGCUACUCUCAAAAUACUCAACAAGUCAUGUUGUAUUCAAUUGUAAUUUUCACUAAUUCAGGUAUGUGAUGAGAUAGAUAGGUUUUAUGUAAUAGUUUACUUUGUGUUAGCUCUAACCCUUUUUUUUUCUAUCCUCCUCUGCAUAGGGAAUUGCAUCUAUUGUCCUAACAAGAAUUGUUGCGGCACGGAAAUUACUUGGUGGCAACUUGGCAGAACACACAGUUUUAUUCCUUGGAGCAGGAGAGGCUGGUAUAGGAAUGGCUGAACCUAUUGGUCUCGAGUUGUCCAAACAAUUUUCAUCCAGGGCCUGAUUGUCAGCUUAAGAAAUUAUUCAGUUAAAGAAUUGAAGAAGCCAUGGACUCAUGACACAUGAACCUUUUGGAGAUCUCAUAAGUUUUGUCAAGGUGUAAAGUACAUGAAAGAACGACAUAUAUUGAAGACAUACAGUGAUGAAGAGCUGAUUUAUUGGAGCUUUAGGGAUUGCCUAUAUUCAAUUGACUUGUUUCCCGUUUUGGACGUUACAAUCCCUCCAUUAUAUAUAGAGUUAGGUGCAAACAAGUAGUAGUAUAAAUAAAGUACUUGUUUGUGGAUCUAUUUAGGAUUUAUAGUCGUAGAUACAUUGUGUAGUGAUGUUACUUGGAUAUUAUUUUUUGGAUUUUGAUGAAUUCACAUGCCAUAUUAUAUAAAAAAAUCACAUCUAUAUUUAUGUUCAA